GACGAACGCUGGCGGCGUGCUUAACACAUGCAAGUCGAGCGGUAAGGCCCUUUCGGGGUACGACGAGCGGCGAACGGGUAGGAGUAACACGUGGGUGGACCUCGCCCUCCAGCUCUGGGAGUAAGCCUCGGGAAACGUAGGGUCGUAAUACUGGAUAUGACUCCACGGUGCAUGUCGUGGGGUGGAAAGCCUUGUGCGGCUGAGGAUGGGCCCGCGGCCUAUCAGCUUGUUGGU
rnacentral:rRNA from 1 species